GGUCUAAUAGUGUAGUGGUUAUCACAGUGGAUUUUGAUUGCUGAGAUCGCGGUCAGUGUAUCAUCAUUCCAUUAACCCAGGUUCGAAUCCUGGUUAGACCU